UACGUAGGGGGCAAGCGUUGUCCGGAAUGAUUGGGCGUAAAGGGCGCGUAGGCGGCCCGGUAAGUCUGGAGUGAAAGUCCUGGCUUCAAGUUGGGAAUUGCUUUGGAUACUGUCGGGCUUGAGUGCAGGAGAGGUUAGUGGAAUUCCCAGUGUAGCGGUGAAAUGCGUAGAGAUUGGGAGGAACACCAGUGGCGAAGGCGACUAACUGGACUGUAACUGACGCUGAGGCGCGAAAGUGUGGGGAGCAAACAGG
rnacentral:rRNA from 1 species